AGCAGCAGCAGAGGUAAGAUGGACCUGGAAGACUGCAGCUAAGGCGAAAAGGGCGGAUUUUGAAUUGGUAAUGGAAUCAACGCAAGUGAGCACAAGGCAGAACUGUGGAAGUGACGAUUAAAUGUUUAAACAUGAUGUCAUUGAGAGGAACAGCAAUCUCCAUCGGAAGAAUAAAUACCUCUGUUUCCAAUUCUUCUGGCAUAACAAUAGGUUGCCGCAGCCACUCCAGAAGGCACUCAACCACAUUACCACGCAUCUGAAGUCAGAUAAAGCACAGACCAAGUAGAACCUGAGAUUUCCUACUGAACAAACGAAUAAUGGAUCGGCCACUGCCUGACCAAAGAAAAAGCAUAUUCUGCUUCGAAGGUUUUUGAUCAAGAGAGCUUCAAAGACGACAGAUAAGAUCUAUGUCUGAAAAUGCAAAAACAAGCAAAAAUAAAGCUCAUUUCUUCAUGAAAUCUGCUACGAGUGGAAAGAAUCGAACGCCAAAUUAUUACCAGAGGAAAUUUCAACGGCAGAAAGACCUGUUCACUGAUGCAAGCUCUCCUUUCUUUUUA